UGGUUCUGGCAUCGAUGAAGAACGCAGCGAAAUGCGAUAAGUAAUGUGAAUUGCAGAAUUCAGUGAAUCAUCGAAUCUUUGAACGCACAUUGCGCCCGUUAGUAUUCUAACGGGCAUGCCUGUUCGAGCGUCAUUUCAACCCUCAAGCCCUAUUGGGCCUGCUGUUGGAGAUCGGCCUACAGGUGACCCUCCGGGGCCCUGGCCGCCUCCGAAAUAUAGUGGCGGUCUCGCUGUAGCCUCCUCUGCGUAGUAAAAUACCUCGCUCUGGAACGCGGCGCGGCCAUGCCGUAAAACACCCAACUUCUGAAGGUUGACCUCGGAUCAGGUAGGAAUACCCGCUGA
rnacentral:misc_RNA from 1 species